rnacentral:tRNA from 1 species
GGGGCUAUAGUAUAACGGGAGAACGCAUCGUUCGCAACGAUGAGGUGCGGGUUCAAUUCCCGCUAGCUCCA